rnacentral:rRNA from 1 species
AGUGAACGCUGGCGGUAUGCCUAACACAUGCAAGUCGAACGGCAGCACAGUAAGAGCUUGCUCUUACGGGUGGCGAGUGGCGGACGGGUGAGGAAUACAUCGGAAUCUACUUUUUCGUGGGUGAUAACGUAGGGAAACUUACGCUAAUACCGCAUACGUCCUACGGGUGAAAGCAGGGGAUCUUCGGACCUUGCGCGAUUGAAUGAGCCGAUGUCGGAUUAACUAGUUGGUGAGGUAAAGGCCCACCAAGGCGACGAUCCGUAGCUGAUCUGAGAGGAUGAGCGGCCACACUGGAAGUUAGACACGCGCCGGACCCAUACGGGAGGCACCCGUAGGGAAUCGUCCGCAAGCGGCGGAAGCCUGACGGAGCAACGCCGCGAAAAAGAUGAAGGACUUCGGAUCUAAAAACUCUGUUAUUAGGGAAAAACAAAUGUGUAAGUAACGAUGCACGACUUGACGGUACCUAAACAGAAAGCCACGCCUAACUACGUGC